AGAAGUGAGGGUAGACUCUGCGUGUGCUUGUAUGUGCAUGUGCAUGUGUGAAUCUAAAAGGCUUAGGUUGCAGCGAUGUUGGUCUUCCCGUUUUUCUCCUCAUCGUCAGGGAAUCUUAACUGAUGUCGGAAGCGGUGGUGAUGCUUACAAUGGGAACUGCCCAGGGAAGUGACUUCUGUCACGUGCAAGAAGAUACAUGGAUGAUGGCGUACCCCAGGCAACCAGAGGGAUCUUGCAAAAUAAAUGUCAUUCCCAAGAGGAGCGAGUCCCUGUGUCCACAGAAAGGCUUGCACCAGAGCGCUCAUGGCAGCUGUUCCAUAACAGUCCAGAACUGGAAGCCAUCCACAUGCUCACCAGUGGGAAAAUGCAUAAACAUGUUGUAGUGUGUUCGUACAAUAGAUUACUACACUGGAUUAAAAAUAAUAAACCAACGAUAGUUUGAGGGAUGGACCUCAAACGUGUCACCCUGAACUAAAGAAGACAGACCCAAAAGAGGACAAUAACGCAUGACUCCAGGUACAUAAAUUUCAAGAGUGAGGACACUUGAAUGAAGAUCAAAGAAAUUACGUCAUGUUUAGCCCUGGGGUAACAGGUAGGUACUGUCUGGGAGGUCCCACAAGAAAACUUUCUGAGUUCUCUGGAAGUGUCCUAUGUCUUGACCUGGGAGGUGUUACAUGAGUUUAUGCAUAGGUAGAAAUUCAUUAAGUUGUAUGUUUAAGAUUUUACUAUUUAUAGACUAAUCCCCAAUCAAAAAGCAGAACAUCAUAGAGUUAGAAAAAUUAGGAAAAGGUAGUCCAACUUGCCAUUUCCAGUUUUUUUUUUUGAAACUGGCUUCUUAGGUUAAUUUUGACUUUAUUCAUAAAAAAAGUAGUAUGGAAAUGUGGACGGGUACAGGCUAUGUUGUAAUACCAGAUGUGGGACGUUCAGAGAGAAUCGCUAAAUGAAUGGUUGAUUGAUUUGUUUCCUGGGCUUUUUAAUAUAGAAAAUGAGGUGUUAUUCUCUCCCCUUGAUAAGCUGUAAUAAGCAUCUCCCACAUGCCUCCUGUCCGUUUUCCCUUUCCUUUCUUCCUCCUCCUCCAAUCGCUAUCACAUUUGUGUUAUAUGGAAUGUAAGAGAACAAGAGGUUUUAGGAGAAAAGAAAAAAAAAGAAAAGUGAACCACUUUUAUUUCGGUGUCAAAAUAUAACGAAGUACUUUGCAUAGCUUGUAUUUUUUUUCCAGGAGAAAUCUCGUAGGUCAGCUCAUGAACUGGCAUGGUGAACUAUUUAUUCCUGCCAGAAAAGACAGUCAAAACGAGAGUGUUAAUUUAUUUGAACAGAUUCAUGUCGAAUUCUCUCCAACAAACAAUGCCAGGAUGUUUCACUGGUGCCGACUGUCGAGGAAUUCGAUGUUUUUAUUAUCGUUCCCAUGAUGAGGGUACGCGCACACUGGGAUGGGUGUCUAUGGAACUUUUUUCACUGACACUGUUUAUCUCCAUGGUCUUUGCAAAGCCCAGGUGAGAACAACUCUCAAGUAAGUUGGGGCUGUCUGCACAGGUAUCCUGAGUAGUUCACACAACUCGUCUAUGCUGCGCCAUGAAAUAGCAAUUCAGCUUCUUGCUUCUCUUUAGGUGGCUCUGGGUUACUUGGGCCAGAGACUGCGGCUCAGACUUCGCUUUGGUUGCCUGAAUGUGACUCUUUAGCCUCCCUGCCCUUCUGUGUGGGUGGAGUUAAUGACCUCAAUAUCUGGCUAAUGGCAUCUUCUUAGUUUGCAGCGAUGGCCAUUCUGAAUAUACAAGGGAGAAUGGGGAAGGGUGAGCGGAAAAGUCGUACUUUGAUGGUGAAAAUGCAGAUAACUCUUGCAGUCAAGUCAGGUCUCUGUUCCUACUCCCCACGAACUAGGAUGUUUUCUGCUGUUCCAUAGCAGAGAAAAAGUGUGAACACAGUCUGGAUUAUCUCUGGUGCAGCCCAAGUUGUCUGGGCUGGCACGAAACCGAAGAUGGAAGAGCCAAUUGCUGACCUCAGCGAUGCAAGCCUGCUUCCCAGUGCAAGGCUGAAUUUCGGUCACAAUUACUCAUGGAUGCUCAUGGUUAUCUGGACCAGGACUCACACCCUCCCUGUUCGUGGCAGGAAGUCAUGUCUUUCCAGAGGAUGUGAAAUUCAUAAAAUCCUUCUAAGUACCGAAGUCUGCGAAUGCUAUUAGUCUGUGAAAUAUGAGGAUAAGAGGACCAAUGUUUUUUUCCCUUAAUUUAAACCCUCAGACUUUAAUUUCACUCUGUUCCUUAUAAAAAAGAUGU